UACGGAGGGGGCUAGCGUUGUUCGGAUUUAUUGGGCGUAAAGAGCGUGUAGGCGGCCAGACAGGUCCGUUGUGAAAACUCGAGGCUCAACCUCGAGACGCCGAUGGAAACCGUCUGGCUAGAGUCCGGAAGAGGAGAGUGGAAUUCCUGGUGUAGCGGUGAAAUGCGCAGAUAUCAGGAGGAACACCCGUGGCGAAAGCGGCUCUCUGGGACGGUACUGACGCUGAGACGCGAAAGCGUGGGGAGCAAACAGG
rnacentral:rRNA from 1 species